rnacentral:rRNA from 1 species
GUGAACGCUGGCGGUAGGCCUAACACAUGCCAGUCGCACGGCAGCACAGUAAGAGCUUGCUCUUACGGGUGGCGAGUGGCGGACGGGUGAGGAAUACAUCGGAAUCUACUUUUUCGUGGGGGAUAACGUAGGGAAACUUACGCUAAUACCGCAUACGACCUACGGGUGAAAGCAGGGGAUCUUCGGACCUUGCGCGAUUGAAUGAGCCGAUGUCGGAUUAGCUAGUUGGCGGGGUAAAGGCCCACCAAGGCGACGAUCCGUAGCUGGUCUGAGAGGAUGAUCAGCCACACUGGAACUGAGACACGGUCCAGACUCCUACGGGAGGCAGCAGUGGGGAAUAUUGGACAAUGGGCGCAAGCCUGAUCCAGCCAUACCGCGUGGGUGAAGAAGGCCUUCGGGUUGCAAAGCCCUUUUGUUGGGAAAGAAAAGCAGCAGGUUAAUACCCCGCUGUUCUGACGGUACCCAAAGAAUAAGCACCGGCUAACUUCGUG